UACGGGAACAAGAGGUGGACAGCAUCAGAUUCAGGGGACAACGUCAAUGGGGCAUGUUGGGCGUAUGAGAUUCGGGUCCUUCUUGUUACAAGCUCAUUUCGCUUUUGCUUUUGCUUUUGAAUUUUGGUUAAAAUGGGGAGACUUGUUUAGCAAUGAAGCUGAUUUGAUGGUGGUGCUGCCAUGGCGACCUGCAUGUCUUGUGCAAUUCAAAUAUGAUCUUUCUCUGCGCCAUAAAAAGCCUACCUAAAAGAGAUCAUCUCUUACAUUUCUCCAGUAGUAAAUACUUGAUAUCUUGUCACUCGAUUUCCUAAUCCUGUUGUCUGUUGAAAUAUAGCUUCUAUAGUCUAUACUUCUGUUUUAUCGUAUAAGUGAGCCUGAAGAUUAUUUAUUUAGACUAGUUAGCGACAGCAACCAAACAUUGAUGUGAUAUCAGAUCUUUAAUUCGGUUUCUAGACUUACCGGCAACUUCUAUUAACUGUUGGGAUUGUACCUUGGAUCGAUAUAAUGAUAUUGAAUAACUGAGAGAUAGUCAUUAUAAGUGGUAGUUACUAGUGGGUGCUUCUUUCCAUUAAUACAAGUCAUAAUGUUCAAUUGUUUUCAAAGGUCAUUUGUCUGCAGACUGGUGCAAUUGCAGAAAAUAUGCCUGUUGAAUGUAGGAGUCGCAUUACUAAUGUGAUGAGAAAGAUGGCAACGAUGCCCUAUUUAUUAUUACGUGCCCAGUUCUGUAUGGCUGCAUGCUGGUAAGGCAUGCAUAUAGAGAACUAAUAGGUUGAGAAUAAAAGUGUACUCAGUGGCGUGGCACGAUUUGAAAGUUAAACUCUGAGAACUAGUGCUGGCUCAUGUGAAAUAUGAAGUCUGCUUCUCGAAACAAAAGUAUAGAAAAUCUUGAAGUAUGUCUAUGAAUUUCAAUUUCUUGGACUAUGUAUAAACUCUUUUUUGCUGCUUAAUAUUCA